UACAUUAAUGAGGGUAAAGUGACUAGGCAUCAGGAUAGAUAAUAACAAGGUAAUUGAGGUAGAUAUUUACAUUAAGGAGGGUAAAGUGACUAGGCAUCAGGAUAGAUAAUAACAAGGUAAUUGAGGUAGAUAUUUACAUUAAGGAGGGUAAAGUGACUAGGCAUCAGGAUAGAUAAUAACAAGGUAAUUGAGGUAGAUAUUUACAUUAAGGAGGGUAAAGUGACUAGGCAUCAGGAUAGAUAAUAACAAGGUAAUUGAGGUAGAUAUUUACAUUAAGGAGGGUAAAGUGACUAGGCAUCAGGAUAGAUAAUAACAAGGUAAUUGAGGUAGAUAUUUACAUUAAGGAGGGUAAAGUGACUAGGCAUCAGGAUAGAUAAUAACAAGGUAAUUGAGGUAGAUAUUUACAUUAAGGAGGGUAAAGUGACGAGGCAUCAGGAUAGAUAAUAACAAGGUAAUUGAGGUAGAUAUUUACAUUAAGGAGGGUAAAGUGACGAGGCAUCAGGAUAGAUAAUAACAAGGUAAUUGAGGUAGAUAUUUACAUUAAGGAGGGUAAAGUGACUAGGCAUCAGGAUAGAUAAUAACAAGGUAAUUGAGGUAGAUAUUUACAUUAAGGAGGGUAAAGUGACUAGGCAUCAGGAUAGAUAAUAACAAGGUAAUUGAGGUAGAUAUUUACAUUAAGGAGGGUAAAGUGACUAGGCAUCAGGAUAGAUAAUAACAAGGUAAUUGAGGUAGAUAUUUACAUUAAGGAGGGUAAAGUGACUAGGCAUCAGGAUAGAUAAUAACAAGGUAAUUGAGGUAGAUAUUUACAUUAAGGAGGGUAAAGUGACUAGGCAUCAGGAUAGAUAAUAACAAGGUAAUUGAGGUAGAUAUUUACAUUAAGGAGGGUAAAGUGACUAGGCAUCAGGAUAGAUAAUAACAAGGUAAUUGAGGUAGAUAUUUACAUUAAGGAGGGUAAAGUGACUAGGCAUCAGGAUAGAUAAUAACAAGGUAAUUGAGGUAGAUAUUUACAUUAAGGAGGGUAAAGUGACUAGGCAUCAGGAUAGAUAAUAACAAGGUAAUUGAGGUAGAUAUUUACAUUAAGGAGGGUAAAGUGACUAGGCAUCAGGAUAGAUAAUAACAAGGUAAUUGAGGUAGAUAUUUACAUUAAGGAGGGUAAAGUGACUAGGCAUCAGGAUAGAUAAUAACAAGGUAAUUGAGGUAGAUAUUUACAUUAAGGAGGGUAAAGUGACUAGGCAUCAGGAUAGAUAAUAACAAGGUAAUUGAGGUAGAUAUUUACAUUAAGGAGGGUAAAGUGACUAGGCAUCAGGAUAGAUAAUAACAAGGUAAUUGAGGUAGAUAUUUACAUUAAGGAGGGUAAAGUGACUAGGCAUCAGGAUAGAUAAUAACAAGGUAAUUGAGGUAGAUAUUUACAUUAAGGAGGGUAAAGUGGCAUCAGGAUAGAUAAU